rnacentral:ncRNA from 1 species
GAUUAAGUGUCGUAAGGGCAUUUGGUGGAUGCCUUGGCAUGCACAGGCGAUGAAGGACGUGAUACGCUGCGAUAAGCCGUGGGGAGCUGCGAAUGAGCUUUGAUCCAUGGAUCUCCGAAUGGGGCAACCCACCUUAGAUACUUGGAAAAUCAUUCUGGUUGUUGGGUCUUUGAUUUAGCAACCCGAAUGGUUUCCAAGUAUCGUUAAUAAGGUAUCUUACCUUCGAAUACAUAGGGGUAAGAAGCGAACGCAGGGAACUGAAACAUCUAAGUACCUGCAGGAAAGGACAUCAACCGAGACUCCGCAAGUAGUGGCGAGCGAACGCGGACCAGGCCAGUGGCAAUGAGGAAUAAAGCGGAACCAUCUGGAAAGUUGGGCCGUAGCGGGUGACAGCCCCGUACGCGUAGAACACUCAUUGUCCUAGAGUAGGGCGGGACACGAGAAAUCCUGUCUGAACAUGGGGAGACCACUCUCCAAGCCUAAGUACUCGUGCAUGACCGAUAGCGAACAAGUACCGUGAGGGAAAGGUGAAAAGCACCCCGACAAGGGGAGUGAAAU